rnacentral:misc_RNA from 1 species
ACAAACUUGGUCAUUUAGAGGAAGUAAAAGUCGUAACAAGGUUUCCGUAGGUGAACCUGCGGAAGGAUCAUUGCUGAUGCCGGCGGCCCAGUGGCUGAUCCCUCGAGAGGGGGUGAAGCUGCUGCGCCGCUUCCAACAUCAUUUGCCCCUUCAUGUGAACCCGGCAUUGGAGACCGAGCGCGAGUGAGCUUUGGGGCCCACACGCUUUCCCCAGAUCAUCCCCGUCAAAGGGGGUGAGAUCGGGAUAGGCCUCCUCUGCCCAAAACAAACCUGUCUUCUCUAACCUGUAUCCCAGACUGAAGCAAAAAAAAAACAAAAACAUUCUUACAACUUUUAACAAUGGAUAUCUUGGCUCGCGCAUCGAUGAAGAACGCAGC